CAAAAAAUAAAAGAAAAAAGUUGCAUGACAUGAACAUUGAGUUCAAAAGCCUUAAUGGAUCUUUUGAAAUUUUCUUGGAACCCAAGACUUCACCAUUAGGUAACAAAUUUUUCAAGUGCCCUGCUAGAGAAGGUUUGAAGUUGAAAUCCCACUGAGGAUUCCUGCCAGGGAUGUAUUUUUCUUUUACUUUUCCUUAACUGAUAUCCUUCUAAAAGAGGAAGAAAAAAAGGAAGAGGGAAAAAAAUACAAAGGAAAACAAGACGUAAUGAUUUCCUUAUGACACAUGCUUGAAAAAUGCAACCUACAGACAGACAAGGCUACUUCCACUGUUUGGAAGCUGACAAAGAAAAUCCAAACAGAAGACUGAACUCUACAGUUAAGCCAAUGCAGAGGGCUGACAGUUGAAGUCUCUGCAUUCUGAACAACAGCUUACCCCUGCCCUGAAACACAUACUGUUAGAGAGG